rnacentral:rRNA from 1 species
GACAGCGGAGGGAUCAUUACAGAGUUGAAAGACUCCUCACACCAUCGCGAACGUUACCCUUAACCGUUGCUUCGGCGGGCGGUCUCCUCCCCCUCACACGGGUUGGGAACCCCUCGGCCCUCCUCUCCCCUUCGCGGGGUGGGGGGCGCCCGCCGGAGGUCACGCAAACUCUUGAUACCUGAACGGCCUCUCUGAGUAUUCUGUACUGAAUUAAGUCAAAACUUUCAACAACGGAUCUCUUGGUUCUGGCAUCGAUGAAGAACGCAGCGAAAUGCGAUAAGUAAUGUGAAUUGCAGAAUUCCGUGAAUCAUCGAAUCUUUGAACGCACAUUGCGCCCGCCAGCAUUCUGGCGGGCAUGCCUGUUCGAGCGUCAUUUCAACCAUCAAGCCCCCGGGCUUGUGUUGGGGACCUGCAGCGCGGCUCUUUCUCGCCCGCAGGCCCUGAAAUGCAGUGGCGGGCUCGCUAGUGACACCGAGCGUAGUAGCAAUUUUAUCUCGCUCAGGGCGUUGCUGCGGGUUUUCCCGGCCGUUAAACACCCCCCUUUCUUCUAAGGUUGACCUCGGAUCAGGUAGGAAGACCCGCUGAACUUAAGCAUAUCAAUAAGCGGAGGA